UACCUGGUUGAUCUUGUCAGUAGUCAUAUGCUUGUCUCAAAGAUUAAGCCAUGCAUGUCUUAGUGCACGCCUUAAUACGGUAAAACCGCGAAUGGCUCAUUAAAUCAGCUUUGGUUUAUUGGAUCAUACCCGUUAAAUGGAUAACUGU
rnacentral:ncRNA from 1 species